rnacentral:rRNA from 1 species
AUGAACGCUAGCUACAGGCUUAACACAUGCAAGUCGAGGGGCAGCAUUUUAGUUUGCUUGCAAACUGAAGAUGGCGACCGGCGCACGGGUGAGUAACACGUAUCCAACCUGCCGAUAACUCCGGAAUAGCCUUUCGAAAGAAAGAUUAAUACCGGAUAGCAUACGAAUAUCGCAUGAUAUUUUUAUUAAAGAAUUUCGGUUAUUGAUGGGGAUGCGUUCCAUUAGUUUGUUGGCGGGGUAACGGCCCACCAAGACUACGAUGGAUAGGGGUUCUGAGAGGAAGGUCCCCCACAUUGGAACUGAGACACGGUCCAAACUCCUACGGGAGGCAGCAGUGAGGAAUAUUGGUCAAUGGGCGAGAGCCUGAACCAGCCAAGUAGCGUGAAGGAUGAAGGCUCUAUGGGUCGUAAACUUCUUUUAUAUGGGAAUAAAGUUUUCCACGUGUGGAAUUUUGUAUGUACCAUAUGAAUAAGGAUCGGCUAACUCCGUGCCAGCAGCCGCGGUAAUACGGAGGAUCCGAGCGUUAUCCGGAUUUAUUGGGUUUAAAGGGAGCGUAGGUGGAUUGUUAAGUCAGUUGUGAAAGUUUGCGGCUCAACCGUAAAAUUGCAGUUGAAACUGGCAGUCUUGAGUACAGUAGAGGUGGGCGGAAUUCGUGGUGUAGCGGUGAAAUGCUUAGAUAUCACGAAGAACUCCGAUUGCGAAGGCAGCUCACUAGACUGUCACUGACACUGAUGCUCGAAAGUGUGGGUAUCAAACAGGAUUAGAUACCCUGGUAGUCCACACAGUAAACGAUGAAUACUCGCUGUUUGCGAUAUACAGUAAGCGGCCAAGCGAAAGCAUUAAGUAUUCCACCUGGGGAGUACGCCGGCAACGGUGAAACUCAAAGGAAUUGACGGGGGCCCGCACAAGCGGAGGAACAUGUGGUUUAAUUCGAUGAUACGCGAGGAACCUUACCCGGGCUUAAAUUGCAACAGAAUAUAUUGGAAACAGUAUAGCCGUAAGGCUGUUGUGAAGGUGCUGCAUGGUUGUCGUCAGCUCGUGCCGUGAGGUGUCGGCUUAAGUGCCAUAACGAGCGCAACCCUUAUCUUUAGUUACUAACAGGUUAUGCUGAGGACUCUAGAGAGACUGCCGUCGUAAGAUGUGAGGAAGGUGGGGAUGACGUCAAAUCAGCACGGCCCUUACGUCCGGGGCUACACACGUGUUACAAUGGGGGGUACAGAAGGCGGCUACCUGGUGACAGGAUGCUAAUCCCAAAAACCUCUCUCAGUUCGGAUCGAAGUCUGCAACCCGACUUCGUGAAGCUGGAUUCGCUAGUAAUCGCGCAUCAGCCAUGGCGCGGUGAAUACGUUCCCGGGCCUUGUACACACCGCCCGUCAAGCCAUGAAAGCCGGGGGUACCUGAAGUACGUAACCGCAAGGAGCGUCCUAGGGUAAAACUGGUAAUUGGGGCU